GCCCUUUCGUCCCCGGCGCCGAGUGCCUAUAUUGGGGUCGUCGGGUUCGCCCGACUAUGGCGAUAAACGCUAUGCGGAAUAAGCGUUGUGGACCCGGGGGCGGUACCCGGCGCCUCCACCAAUCUCCCCGGACGGCCUUGGCCGGCCGGGACGACGGGGGCGAAACAGGAUCGACACGCGUGGUAAAGGCAUGGUUUUCGCUCGGCAUGGUUCCGCCGUUACCGGGCCAUUUCAUAGGUGCCAACGACAACACGGCGCCUGCCCUUCGCAUGGCUGCCUGAUAGCCCCCUUAAGGGCUGUUAGCAGUUAGCUGAGGACGGGGUUCGGGGGGCACCCGGCAACAGAAGCCCCCCACU
rfam:Rhodospirillum centenum SW, complete genome.